rnacentral:lncRNA from 1 species
GGACUUAGCCCUUCUUCUUCUUCUCUCCACUCUAACCCAAGCCAAAACCUUUUGUGCAAGCAUUUAAUCUUUGUUUUCAACAUUAGAAACCUAAGCCUUAUGCUUUUGAUUUUCAAACUUUCUUUUCAUAAUACUUAUUUUGAAUUGAAUCCUUAAGUCAACUUUGACCAUUUUGUAUAUACUUCUAAUUGGUAAAUAUAACCCAUUCAAAUGUCUUUUGUGGUUUCAAUGGCCACUUCUUCAUCAAAAU